UUACCUGCAAGUCGAACGGCAGCACGGGUGCUUGCACCUGGUGGCGAGUGGCGAACGGGUGAGUAAUACAUCGGAACAUGUCCUGUAGUGGGGGAUAGCCCGGCGAAAGCCGGAUUAAUACCGCAUACGAUCCACGGAUGAAAGCGGGGGACCUUCGGGCCUCGCGCUAUAGGGUUGGCCGAUGGCUGAUUAGCUAGUUGGUGGGGUAAAGGCCUACCAAGGCGACGAUCAGUAGCUGGUCUGAGAGGACGACCAGCCACACUGGGACUGAGACACGGCCCAGACUCCUACGGGAGGCAGCAGUGGGGAAUUUUGGACAAUGGGCGAAAGCCUGAUCCAGCAAUGCCGCGUGUGUGAAGAAGGCCUUCGGGUUGUAAAGCACUUUUGUCCGGAAAGAAAUCCCUGGCUCUAAUACAGCCGGGGGAUGACGGUACCGGAAGAAUAAGCACCGGCUAACUACGUGCCAGCAGCCGCGGUAAUACGUAGGGUGCAAGCGUUAAUCGGAAUUACUGGGCGUAAAGCGUGCGCAGGCGGUUUGCUAAGACCGAUGUGAAAUCCCCGGGCUCAACCUGGGAACUGCAUUGGUGACUGGCAGGCUAGAGUAUGGCAGAGGGGGGUAGAAUUCCACGUGUAGCAGUGAAAUGCGUAGAGAUGUGGAGGAAUACCGAUGGCGAAGGCAGCCCCCUGGGCCAAUACUGACGCUCAUGCACGAAAGCGUGGGGAGCAAACAGGAUUAGA
rnacentral:rRNA from 1 species